rnacentral:lncRNA from 1 species
GUUUUGCUCCAAUUAUAGCUACUAAUUUGCAAAUGGCUCCAAGCAGACUGAGGUAUCCCAUGACUUUCUCUUAGCUGUAUGUCUUGAGUCCAGACAGUGGAAACUUGAUGUCCCUCUGGCCUCCCAGGGUACCAUGAGAGCUUCUUUUUAAUGUGGAACUGAUCUCUUUCUUUGAGCGAUAAUAGCAAAGCAAGCACUUCACAAAGACCAGUCCAUCUCGUCUCCAUAAAACCUUAAUGCCCUUCAAUGUGCAAAAAACAGGGAACAAGCUUUCACCCUUUGCCAGAAAACACCAAUUGAGAAGUGUAAAAGGGACCAAAAACAUUUGAAUAUCCCAUUUGAGAUCCACGUGUUAUCCAUUUGUCCCACAUUGCAAGAGUUGGAGAAAGUCCAUCCUCUCUAUAGCUUGCUGGUAAGCUUGAGCUUUGCUUACACUUAAGAGAGCGGGGAGGGGCAGCAUCCUCUGUGGAGCAGCCCCUCAGCCCUCUCCAGGAGGCUGGCUGUGUGGGGUCCCUGCUCCUGGGCAUUUGCUGUGCAACUUCACAUCAAAACCAACUCCCCCAGCUGGAAUGAGGACCAGGGUUCUGGGAGAGGAGAUGCUGCUUUCAAGAUGCACGUGAACGUGAACUUCUGAAGAGCCUGCAGCACGGCCACCCUGUCCUGCCCAGUCUCCAUUUGGGAGAUUACACCAUUGGGUUCCUGGUUUCACUUUGCCCUCACCAACUUUCCAUACUGUCCAGAGACAGUUUGACGCUUGGAGAACACAGUCACUUUCAGAGGGAGGUGCUUUUGCCGAGGAGAAGGGGCAGGAGAUAACUGGCUGUGUGGGAAGGAUCCACUGGUCGGCUCCAAGGCCAUCGAAUAUGGAGAAACUACUAGGUAGGAGUCUGGGUCCCACACUGUGAGGAAGCCUUCCAGUGGGAGCACUGAAUGUCUGUACACUUAGAUGUCCAGUGAGCUUCAGAAUUAAUCAUGAACAUACCAAAAAAGAAAGUUCUAAGCGAGCGUGAUUGAAGAGGAGAAGAGGAGAUGGUUCUGCCCUAAAGAUGUCAAAAAGGUUGCCUGUGGUCACACUGUCAUUUUGAGGCAAAGCUGGAAUUGGAACCAUGGGGCCCAGACUCCCAACCUUGGAGUUUUCUCUUUUAAAGCAUGGUGCUAUUCUCUGACAACCUUAGAGUUCUAGCAAAUGUAUUUGUACCUUUUUUCAUUUCAUUAUGCAUUUACAUUCCAUUUAAUAGUAUACAUUCCUGCUGGUAACAGAAGUUGUGGAUGUGCAUCUAGUAAGAAUGGAAAUUUGGGUGAAAAUGGGC